UCUCUCUGUAGCUCAGUUGGUUAGAGCGCUGCACCGGAAUUGCAGGGCCACAGGUUCAAUUCCUGCCAGAGGAG